rnacentral:misc_RNA from 1 species
GACAAAACCGGGGCUCCACUGGAACUAUGACAGCGAAAAACCGAAAUCAGAACCGCCUUCAAACCAGACUGGGACUGGCCCGUAACUGGCUUGAACUGUUUGCUAAAGGGCCAGUUCCGGUGCAACCCUACCUACGGAACUGGACUGGAAUCAGCCGUGGCCUGGUCUACAUAGUGUCUCUGUAAAUGUCUGGCAUAGGAAAUCCUCGUCAUUUCCUAUUGUUUUCUUUAAAAUUUUUAUGUUGGAAAGUGUAACACCACUGCAUGUUGGGUUUUGAGUCUCUUGACAUGAUAUAAAGAAACUUGUUUGCUUUUUGGAGUUAACAUUUUUAUAUGAUAACAAAAAAUUAAAAGUUGCUGCGAUUUUGGUAAUAUGCAA